GCUCAUUUCAGACUUCUGACCUCCAGGACUGAGACACUUUCUGGGCACAGGACUUCCCCAACCUCCAGACGAUGCUCACCCACAGGAACAACGCCCAGGUCAUCCUGUUGUGCAGCUUCCUGUGGGGUCCACAGCGCUCCAGAGGGCCGGCCUGACGCCAUCCUUGCCCAACAGGAUCUGUGGGAAACAAACUGCCCCUGCCCUGGCCCUGGGGAGCCCUCAGGGAGGGUCGAGAAUCGCCCACACCUCCUGGGUUCUCUGCCAUCUCCCGAGACACUGCCCUGGGCCCCACCCCCAGGUGUGAGGAGGCACCUGGCGACAGGUGGCUCAGGGCCACAGGACAGGGACAAGGGCCCAGCAGCCUGUCACUCCUUGUUCCCUGCCUCCCCGCAGAGCUCCUGCCUUGGUUCCCACCAUGAACCCCCCAAACCUCUCUUGGACCUUCUUACUCUGACCAACCACCAAGAUUGGAAAACUGCACUCGGGCUGCUCCGUGGGUGCAGCAUGGGAGCCCGAGGGCUGCAUCCCUGGCGCACAGUCAAUAAAAAGCCAACACGCAGCUGUGAUCAGCUCCCAGGCUGUAAUCGCA